AUGGCGGCGGUGACGGCGGGGAGCGGGGCCGGGAGUGGGUCCGCAGGCAGCCCCGAGGCCGCCGGCGGAAGCACGGGGGGCAGCGGGUGGCGGCGUCCCCACGGGCCUCUCCAGCGCUACUAUGGCCCGUCGACUGCCGAGGCGGCCGAGGCGGCCCCGGACCCCACCGACAUCAACGGGCCCCACUUCGACCCGGAGGCGUUCAUGACCAAGGUGCGCAGCGAGUGUCCUCUGGGGCAGCUCCUGGCCCGUGAAGCUGCGCUGGGCCGGGAGAUCCGUGCUCUGGACAGUGACAUGCAGACCCUGCUCUACGAGAACUACAACAAGUUCAUCUCUGCCACCGACACCAUACGGAAGAUGAAGGUGGAUUUCCGGCACAUGGAGGCAGAGAUGGAUGAUCUGGCGGCCAACAUGGCGGCCAUCAGCGCCUCGAGUGCCCGCGUCAGUGCCGCACUGCAGGACCGGCACCGCCGCGGCGCCCAGCUGGCCGGGGUGCAGGCUCUGCUGCGGAAGCUGCAGGCGCUGGUGGAGGUGCCGGGGCGGCUGCGGUGCUGGGCGGGGACAGAGCCCGCCCGUGCCCUGCGCUGCCACGCCCGCGCCCGCGCCGUGCUGCGCCACUACCGCCACCUGCCCUCCUUCCGUGCCAUCGAGGACGAGAGCCACGCCAUCAUGGCUGACCUGGCCCAGCGCCUCCGCACACGCCUCCGGGAGGAGACGCUGGACCCCAAGGAGCUCACCGAGUGUGUGGAGAUGCUGCUGCAGCUGGAGGAGCCGGCUGAGGAGCUGAGCGAGGAGUUCCUGAGCCAGGCGGGCGCACGCCUCGAGGCCGAGCUGGCGGCGCUGGAGGCCGAGCUGCCUGCAGCCGAUCCCUCGGGCACGGCCACCACGCCGCCGCCGCCCGCCUCCGACAUCCUGGACUUUGUGGACCGUGGCAGCUCGGCCUUUGUGGGCACGCUGUGCCAGCUGGCCAGCUCAUACCGCACGCUGUUUGGCGAGGACACGGGGCGCCUGGAGCCGUUUGCCUCCGCGCUGGCCACCCGCUACUUCGCGCUGCUGGAGCGGCGGCUGGCGCUGGAGCGUGGCCUGGGCGACACGUCCCUGCUGGUGCGGGCACUCGACCGCUUCCACCGCCGGCUGCGCUCGCUGCUCGAGCUGCUGCCCGCGGGCGCCGACGCUGCCGCCGCGCUGAUGGCCCGUGCCGCCCGUGAGCGUGUCGACCGCUACCUGCGCGCCCUGCAGACCUUCUUCCUGGGCUGCCUGGGUGAUGUGCGCCAGGCGCUGGCUGCCCCUCGGCCCCCCGGUAAGGAGGGGCCCGGCCUCCCCGACCUGCUGGCCACGCUGGCCGCCUCUGUGCUGGGCCAGCUCAAGGCCGUGCUGGCCUACGUGCAGCUCUUCACCGCCAGGGACGUCGCCUUCGCCAGCCUGCCCUACUUCAAGGGGGAGUUCUGUGUGACAGCAGUGCGUGAGGGACUGGUGGUGGCCUUCGUGCGCUGGCUGUGCCGCACCGCCCGGGGCUUCGCUGAUGGCCCAGCUGAGCGGGGAGCUCCCGCUGCACCUCCGGCCCUGCUGCUGCUCCUCGCCCGUCUCUGCCUGGACUACGAGAACUCCACCAUCAGCUACAUCCUCACCCUCACCGAUGAGCAGUUCCCACCCCAGGACUCAGGGCCGGCGGUGACGCCGGGGCCGGCGCUGUGUGCGGAGGCACGGGCAGCAGCGCAGCGGCUGCUGGACCACUACGUGCAGGUGCAGGGCGCGGCCGUGGCGCAGAUGCUGCGCAAGAGCGUCGAGACGCGCGACUGGCUGGGCACCGUCGAGCCCCGCAACGUGCGCGCUGUCAUGAAGCGUGUGGUGGAGGACAUCACCGCCAUCGAUGUCCAGGUGGGGCAGCUCUUUGAGGAGGGGGUGAGGCGGGCACAGAGCAGCGAUUCCAGCCGACGUGCAUUCUCCGUCUACAGCAGCUCGCGGGCACCUGGCCGCUAUGCCCCCAGCUACACCCCCAGUGCCCCCAUGGACACCCACCUGCUCAGCAACAUCCAGAAGCUUUUCUCUGAACGCAUUGACAUCUUCAGCCCUGUUGAGUUCAAUAAGGUGUCGGUGCUGACAGGGAUCAUCAAGAUCAGCCUGAAGACACUGCUGGAGUGCGUGCGGCUGCGCACGCUGGGGCGCUUUGGGCUGCAGCAGGUGCAGGUGGACGGGCACUACCUGCAGCUCUACCUGUGGCGCUUCGCCUCCGACGAGCGCGUGGUGCAGGGGCUGCUGGACGAGGUGGCCGCCAGCGCCGCCCACCGCUGCCUUGACCCCGUCCCCAUGGAGCACAGCGUGGUCGAGCUCAUCUGCGAGCGUGGGUAGGAUGAGGGACAGGGACGUGCCACACCUGGGGCCUCUUACACCUCUGGGAACAGACCUGGACCCUAUCAGAAGUUCUCCACAGACAAGACAUUCCUGCCUCAAGGAAUCAGCAUGGAAUGGACAGACUCCAAACCUUCAAGUUCUGUAACAAAAAGCAGUGAGGAGCCCAGAGAUGAUUAAACUCACUUUAUCCAACAGUGUUUGGCCAGCUCAGAAGCUUUUGUACAAGAAAUCGCGAUCGCAUGGUUACAAACCUGGAAGCACAGACAGCCAUGGAAACACGGGCACUCCAUGGGUACAGACAGCAAUAGCCAGAUCUGGAUCUACAGAGCAACCCCAGAAGCACAGACACUCCACAGAUACAGAUCUGCACAUACAGAGCAGCCCCAGAAUAGACACCAGUGUAUUUAAAUACAAAACCCACAUCUUUUGAAGAACAUUUGCUGACAAACAGUGCAUUGGCUACAGAAACACAGACAGGAUCACGUCCCCUCACACACAGCACAGUCUCUACAGGGAUUUUACAGGGCUGGGCUGGAUGCAGAAGGAAUGACUAAACCACCAUGGGCUCCUGGAAUGAGAAGGCUGAGCUGGAAGUUUUGGUUCAAAAUUGGGUUGGCCAGAGUCUGGUUAACAGCAGCUCACUGAACAGGAAGUGCUAAAACAGGCCGAGAGACAACGAGCUGAUGCUGAGCCAUGGCCAAGGGCGAACAAGAGGGAUUAAGGUUAAAAACAUCCUCUCAAUCCCAUCUGGCCUCAGAGAUGAAAUUUCACUGAGAAA